UCAAUGAAUUGAGACAAAAGAGAAAAGAAUUCUAAAAGUACAAUUCCCAUAGAUGUAAAAAAACUAUAAUCCGUACUUCCAAGUACAAAUUUGGAAUAGGUCUCUUUUGCCAAAAUAUUAACUUGUAGAGCUGAAGCCCAAAUAGACAACCAUUGUAUAGUUACACCGAACUGAAAUAACAGAGCUGAAUGGUGAAAAAUAAUCUAUGUAGCCGAUCUCAAAGCAAGUUUGAUUGUUGUUUUUUGUGUUUUGAAAUGGAUGUUGCAGCAAACUGUGUGAUUUGGAUUGUAGCAUGAUUAUGGGUCUAGUAU
rnacentral:misc_RNA from 1 species